UCUCGUGCAUCAAACGCAGACGAGCCAACGCAGACGGACGAGCUGCUGCCGAAACGGGGGGCAACGUCGGUUGUGUGGUCGUGGUUUGGUUUUGAAAGGAGCGACACGGAGCAGACCGCUGUAGUUUUAUUCUGAGUCAGCACAUACAUGUAAAUCUAUAUCGAUAUACUCUGAUCUAUAUCUGAUCUGAUGAGCGCGUUUGGACACUCCACCUGACCGAAUUAACACAGCUGAAACUGCAUUAAAUUAAAUAUCCAGUAAACAGUCACACAUGAUGAAGUUAACAAGAUAUUUAAUUCGUCUCCCCGCUUAUCCUCCUUCUUCCUCGCGCAGCUUGAUAGGUGUUAUGCCGUAGAAUGCACCCCUGCAUCCCAUCCACUCAUUAGCUUCUUAAAGUGGAAAACAAAUUAUCUCAUAUUUAAAAAAACACGAGUAUUGGAUCAUGACAACAUGUCAAAUGGAGCAGCCAACUUUCGUUCUGUUUUUAGGUUUUUAAAAAAAGCACAUAGAGAGG